rnacentral:rRNA from 1 species
AGCGAACGCUGGCGGCAGGCCUAACACAUGCAAGUCGAGCGCUCGUAGCAAUACGAGAGCGGCAGACGGGAGAGUAACACGUGGGAACGUACCCUUUGGUUCGGGAUAACACAGGGAAACCUGUGCUAAUACCGAAUAAGCCCUUACGGGGAAAGAUUUAUCGCCGAGGGAUCGGCCCGCGUCUGAUUAGCUAGUUGGUGGGGUAACGGCUCACCAAGGCGACGAUCAGUAGCUGGUCUGAGAGGAUGACCAGCCUCAUUGGGACUGAGACACGGCCCAAACUCCUACGGGAGGCAGCAGUGGGGAAUAUUGGACAAUGGGCGCAAGCCUGAUCCAGCCAUGCCGCGUGGAUGAUGAAGGCCUUAGGGUUGUAAAGUCCUUUUAACGGGGAAGAUAAUGACGGUACCCGUAGAAUGAGCCCCGGCUAACUUCGUGCCAGCAGCCGCGGUAAUACGAAGGGGGCUAGCGUUGCUCGGAAUUACUGGGC